rnacentral:rRNA from 1 species
UGGGGAAUAUUGGACAAUGGGCGCAAGCCUGAUCCAGCCAUGCCGCGUGAGUGAUGAAGGCCCUAGGGUUGUAAAGCUCUUUCGCUCGGGACGAUAAUGACGGUACCGAGAUAAGAAGCCCCGGCUAACUUCGUGCCAGCAGCCGCGGUAAUACGAAGGGGGCUAGCGUUGUUCGGAAUUACUGGGCGUAAAGCGCGUGUAGGCGGGUCUUUAAGUCAGGGGUGAAAUGCCAAGGCUCAACCUUGGAACUGCCUUUGAUACUGGAGAUCUUGAGUCCGGGAGAGGUGAGUGGAAUUGCGAGUGUAGAGGUGAAAUUCGUGGAUAUUCGCAAGAACACCAGUGGCGAAGGCGGCUCACUGGCCCGGAACUGACGCUGAGACGCGAAAGCGUGGGGAGCAAACAGGAUUAGAUACCCUGGUAGUCCACGCUGUAAACGAUGGAUGCUAGCCGUUGGGGAGCUUGCUCUUCAGUGGCGCAGCUAACGCUUUAAGCAUCCCGCCUGGGGAGUACGGUCGCAAGA